rnacentral:tRNA from 2 species
CAGAGUAUAGCUAAGAAAAGAAAAGCAUCUCCCUUACACUGAGAAGUCAUCCGUGCAACUCGGAUUACCCUGA